rnacentral:rRNA from 1 species
GGAAGAGAAAGAAAAUUCGAUUCCCUUAGUAGCGGCGAGCGAAACGGGAAGAGCCCAAACCAACAAGCUUGCUUGUUGGGGUUGUAGGACACUCUAUACGGAGUUACAAAGGACGACAUUAGACGAAUCAUCUGGAAAGAUGAAUCAAAGAAGGUAAUAAUCCUGUAGUCGAAAAUGUUGUCUCUCUUGAGUGGAUCCUGAGUACGACGGAGCACGUGGAAUUCCGUCGGAAUCUGGGAGGACCAUCUCCUAAGGCUAAAUACUCUCUAGUGACCGAUAGUGAACCAGUACCGUGAGGGAAAGGUGAAAAGCACCCCGGAAGGGGAGUGAAAUAGAACCUGAAACCGUGUGCUUACAAGUAGUCAGAGCCCGUUAAUGGGUGAUGGCGUGCCUUUUGUAGAAUGAACCGGCGAGUUACGAUUUGAUGCAAGGUUAAG